AACUUGUUGAGGGACAGAAACUGCUCUGGAGAAGUCAACAAGAGCGCGUGCGGUGCGGCAGACAAGAAGAUAAUUUUGGGCUGCAUAUUUGGAAGCACCACAUCACAAGCAAAUGAAAAUGCAUCAUCACAACACCGAAUUAAGAGUGAAGGAAAACACUGUCGGUAAGAUGCUGGAUAGACUGAAGAUAUUCAAGGUUGACGGACCAGAGCCUCUUGCAUCCAUACCUGUGACAGAUGAAAAAGGAGCUGCAUUCAGUCAAAAGGCUCAAGCAAGAGCAACAUCGGCUUCUCUUCUGGUCUUACAUCCUGUGCACACACCUGGCAGAGUUCUGCAAACUUGACAAGCAGUAGAGAAACCUGAGAAUGUUGUGAGAGACAAAGCAUGCAAUUUGGAACUGUACACUGGAUUCCUCUUGUUUGGCUACCUCCUCUGAAACCAGGGAAUGGCUUUCCAGGAGACUUCGAUGACAGAGGAGGACAGGCUUGUCACGGACACACCAGAGGGGGCUACGACACCAACUUUGACUUCAUAUGGUGAAAACGGCAGGAUGCUUUCGUUCCUGAAGACGUAUCUGGGUGUGUCAGGAGAGGUGACUACAGUCUGUAUCCAUGUUGUGGUGCCAAAGGGGCGAAAAGCGACGACAUAUCCAAACCCUUCUCCAUUCUGUAACUCCUCGGGGAUGGGCUGUGAGAAAAGCAAUCAGUGACUGAAGCCUGUGAUGUUACGUACUGCACUGGAAAAGCUUUGAAGGAGCAAAGCAUCACUGUGAAUGUAUUGCAUGCAGCUGAAACUUGUUCUGGUCUGCAUUUGGGAUCACUGCAUCAACAAAUAAACUCUGGUACAGUAGAGUGAAAUGCUUUCAUUUGAAACUAUCUGCACAUCAAAAACAGAGCAACUCCCACAUACAUUUCUUGCUCUCCAUCUAACAGUAGCAAGUGGAACAGGGAAGGCAAAUGUGCAUAGCUCACAUUACAGAAUGUUACCGAGCACAUAUACACCCUAGAUAAGAAGCUGCUGCAGCCAGGAAAAUUCAUCUUUAAAGAAGCGUUUCAAUGAAAACAACCAUUCUCUGAAGAAAAUUGCUUGCCAGAAAACUUACAUCCCAUGUUAUGACCAGUUCAGACCUGCUGCCGCCUCCCCCACUGACUUCAGCUGGGGGAAUUUCAGGAACUGUGAAAAAAAAAACAUACAGCUGUCUACGCCGUGUAAACAGAUGAGAUGGUAUCACAAGUUAACCUCAUUCUCUGGAGCUAACUCUCUC
rnacentral:lncRNA from 1 species